UGCAGAAUCCCGUGAACCAUCGAGUCUUUGAACGCAAGUUGCGCCCGACGCCUUCGGGCUGAGGGCACGCCUGCCUGGGCGUCACGCAUCGCGUCGCCCCCACACCAAUUUUGGUGCGGGGCGGAUAAUGGCAUCCCGUUAGCUCGGUUUGCCCAAAACUGAUCCCUCAUCGACGGAUGUCACAACCAGUGGUGGUUGAAAGAUCAUUGGUGUCGUUGUGCUUCACUCUGUCGCAUGCUUGGGCAUCGUAAUAAAACAAUGGUGCUAACGCGCCUUCGACCGCGACCCCAGGUCAGACGGGACUACCCGCUGAGUUUAAGCAUAUCAAUAAGCGGUGGAGAAGAAACUUACAAGGAUUCCCUUAGUAACGGCGAGCGAACCGGGAAUAGCCCAACUUGAAAAUCGGGCGGCCACGCCGUUCGA
rnacentral:misc_RNA from 1 species